CACGUAGGGGGCAAGCGUUGUCCGGAUUUAUUGGGCGUAAAGAGCUCGUAGGCUGUUCGAUAAGUCGGGUGUGAAACCUCCAGGCUCAACCUGGAGACGCCACCCGAUACUGUCAUGACUAGAGUCCGGUAGGGGAGCGUGGAAUUCCUGGUGUAGCGGUGGAAUGCGCAGAUAUCAGGAGGAACACCGAUGGCGAAGGCAGUUCUCUGGGCCGUAACUGACGCUGAGGAGCGAAAGCGUGGGGAGCGAACAGG
rnacentral:rRNA from 1 species